CCCUGAUCCACUUCCUUUUUUCCAAAGCACUUUGUUGUUGUUCAAUCUCUCAUCCUAGGGGAAAAAGUGAAAGUGAAAGUCGCUCAGUCGUGUCCGACUCUUUGUCCAUGGAAUUCUCCAGGCCAGAACACUGGAGUGGUCUCUUCCCUUCUCCAGGGGAUCUUCCGAACCCAGGGAUCAAACCCAGGUCUCCCGCAUUGCAGGCGGAUUCUUCACCGACUGAACUAUCAGAGAAGCCCUCAUCCUCGGGGACUGGAAUGCAAAAGUAGGAGGUCAAGGAUACGCAUUAACAGGCUCAGCGGAGGUCAAGUAUCUCUCCUCGUCCCUUGACUUUGAACUUGGCCAAUGAUGGUGUGUCAGUUUCCAACUCUAGACCUUGGGAAGCCUCCCACGUUUCUGCAUCACGGAUUUUAUACUUUAACAGGUAAAGAAGUAAAUAGAAGUGAAGUGGGGGACAGCGAGGAUGCCUGGAGUCUCAAGGUUCAAUACAGAGGUGACUGACAGGCACGUGGAAGUUUUGGAGGCACUGAUUUAAGACUCUCUGGGCCUGGUGGUCACAGACGGAGAUCACGGAGCCCAUUAUCAUGAAACAUGA
ensembl:lncRNA